rnacentral:tRNA from 13 species
UAAAGUCGACAGGAUUCGAACCUGUGCGGGGAAACCCCAAUGGAUUUCGAAAUUCGGAGCCGCCAUUAGCCACACCAACUCAACAACAACAAC